UAGAACUUCAUCAUGGAUGAAGAGUGUAGCACAAGAGUGAGUACUGUGUGGUAUUGACAACAUGAAGCCACAGAAAGUGAAUAUUACUCAGAUGUCUGGUGUCUGCAGAGCAGCUCAGAACCAAUUCAGUCGUGCCUCCAACCCACCCAGUGGCUUGCGCUGUGGGAGCUGCUGACCAGGCUGGCUGUGUGCUCCAGUCUUCCAUGGAGAACCGCUGGAUGGACACAGAGGGCACUUGCACACCCUCAGACCAGUCGGCAAUCUCAGGUUGAGCAGCAGUGAACUCAGGAGCUGGUGCAGUCCAUUCACCCUGGAAUUCCUUUUUGGUCACAGCCUUCUCAGCAUCAGCCUGUUCCUCCUUCUCAAUCUUCUCUGGGUCUCUGUAGAAGUAAAGAUCAGGCAUAACCUCCCAUGGGUGCCCA
rnacentral:lncRNA from 1 species